rnacentral:piRNA from 1 species
UCCACUGCACUAUGAAGUGAGCGCCCUC